rnacentral:misc_RNA from 1 species
GAUGAAGAACGUAGCGAAAUGCGAUAAGUAAUGCGAAUUGCAGAAUUCCAGUGAGUCAUCGAAUCUUUGAACGCACAUUGCGCCCUUUGGUAUUCCGAAGGGCAUGCCUGUUCGAGCGUCAUUAUCACCCCUCAAGCCCUCGGCUUGGUGUUGGACGGUUUGGUGGAGGCCCCCUCGGGGGCUCCUGCCCCUCCCAAAGACAAUGACGGCGGCCUCGUUGGACCCCCGGUACACUGAGUUCUUCACGGGACACGUAUCGGACACAUGGGUUUACGGGACACGGUCUGCCUCCCCUCAGGGAGAAUCUUUCUAAGGUUGACCUCGCAUCAGGUAGGGAUACCCGCUGAACUUAAGCAUAUCAAUAAGCGGAGGA